rnacentral:rRNA from 1 species
GAUGAACGCUGGCGGCGUGCCUAAUACAUGCAAGUCGAGCGAACAGACGAGGAGCUUGCUCCUCUGACGUUAGCGGCGGACGGGUGAGUAACACGUGGAUAACCUACCUAUAAGACUGGGAUAACUUCGGGAAACCGGAGCUAAUACCGGAUAAUAUAUUGAACCGCAUGGUUCAAUAGUGAAAGACGGUUUUGCUGUCACUUAUAGAUGGAUCCGCGCCGCAUUAGCUAGUUGGUAAGGUAACGGCUUACCAAGGCAACGAUGCGUAGCCGACCUGAGAGGGUGAUCGGCCACACUGGAGCUGAGACACGGUCCAGACUCCUACGGGAGGCAGCAGUAGGGAAUCUUCCGCAAUGGGCGAAAGCCUGACGGAGCAACGCCGCGUGAGUGAUGAAGGUCUUCGGAUCGUAAAACUCUGUUAUUAGGGGAGAACAAAUGUGUAAGUAACUAUGCACGUCUUGACGGUACCUGAUCAGAAAGCCACGGCUAACUACGUG